rnacentral:rRNA from 1 species
UACGUAGGGACCAAGCGUUGUUCGGAUUUACUGGGCGUAAAGGGCGCGUAGGCGGCCUAGCAAGUCACUUGUGAAAUCUCCGGGCUUAACUCGGAACUGCCAAGUGAAACUGCUGGGCUAGAGUGCAGAAGGGGCAAUCGGAAUUCUUGGUGUAGCGGUGAAAUGCGUAGAUAUCAAGAGGAACACCUGAGGUGAAGACGGGUUGCUGGGCUGACACUGACGCUGAGGCGCGAAAGCCAGGGGAGCAAACAGG